rnacentral:rRNA from 1 species
UACAGAGGUCUCAAGCGUUGUUCGGAUUCAUUGGGCGUAAAGGGUGCGUAGGCUGGCGCGGUAAGUCGGGUGUGAAAUCUCGGAGCUUAACUCCGAAACUGCAUUCGAAUACUGCCUGUGCUUGAGGACUGGAGAGGAGACUGGAAUUUACGGUGUAGCGGUGAAAUGCGUAGAUAUCGUAAGGAAGACCAGUGGCGAAGGCGGGUCUCUGG